ACCUGGAGCAGAAGCAUGUGCCAGAUUAGGCUGUGGCUGUUACAGGCCACGCUGUCUGGAAGCAUCCACUGCUUAUUGCUGGACUCUGAUCAAAUGACCAAGUACCUAAUGUGACCUUUGAUGCCUGCCUUCACCCAAACUCACACUAAUGCUUUGAAAUACUUUGACCAAGUAACUCGAGAAGUUUGCUUUUUUCCUGGUGGGGAGCAAGGUCAGGUCAUUUACCUUAAAUUCUGUAUUAUGAUUGGCAUUUUGGCUUCUUAAGGGCCGACAGCUCAUGUAUACUCAAGUCACCGUACCCCAUUCGGUAGCUCUCCUUGUUACAGAGAGCCUGCCAGGCACCAGGAAUUAGUGAACUUAUUACUAUUAAAAUUCUUUAUUAUUAUUACUGGAUUUUGUAUUUAUUCCUAGAUGAAAAACUGUGCUUUACGUGUCCCAGCUUGUCACACCUAGUGCAGUGGAGACAUACAGGCAAUGGAGAACCUUACCAUCAACCCAGAUACCACAGGGCUUUCUUAAAUGGAGAUGAGGUGAAUUUAAAUUCACCUUGUAAAAAAUCUCAAAUAAGUUGGAAAUAAGCAGAAUGAGAGUCGACAGAAACAGCAAGCCCCAGAAAUAGUCCUCCAAGGACUAUGGACUUCAUACAAUAGAUAAUAAACAGCCACUCUCAUUAUCCAUCUGCAUCUGCAGAUUCAACCAAUCACAGAUAUAUAUAUAAUGUCUGUCUAAACAUAUACAAAAAUUUUUUUAUCAUUGUUCCCUAAACAAUACAGUAAAUCAACUAUUUACAUAGGCUUAAGUAUUAUAAGUAAUAUAGAGAGGAUUUAAAGUACACAGUAGGAUAUGCAUAAAUUGUAUGCAAAUACUAUAUAUAUAUAUAUACAUAGAAGUAUCUGCAGAUUUUGAUACCUGUAGGGACCAGGAAUCAAUCUCCUAUAGAUACUAAGGGGCAACUGUAUGUUUAAAAAUAUAUAAUUAAAGAUAAAUUUAAAUUAAAUUAAUGAACAAUAAGAAGAAAAAAAAC
rnacentral:lncRNA from 1 species